rnacentral:rRNA from 1 species
AUUGAACGCUGGCGGCAUGCCUAACACAUGCAAGUCGAGCGAGCGGCGGACGGGUGAUUAAUGUCUGUGAAACUGCCUGAUGGAUGGGGAUAACUACUGGAAACGGUAGCUAAUACCGCAUACCAUCAGAUGUGCCCAGAUGGGAUUAGCUAGUAGGUGGGGUAAUGGCGCACCUAGGCGACGAUCCCUAGCUGGUCUGAGAGGAUGACCAGCCACAUGGGAACUGAGACACGGUCCAGACUCCUACGGGAGGCAGCAGUGGGGAAUAUUGCACAAUGGGCGCAAGCCUGAUGCAGCCAUGCCGCGUGUGUGAAGAAGGCCUUCGGGUUGUAAAGCACUUUUAGCGAGGAAGCGUUACUCGCAGAAGAAGCACCGGCUAACUACGUGCCAGCAGCCGCGGUAAUAC